rnacentral:rRNA from 1 species
AACGAACGCUGGCGGCAUGCCUAACACAUGCAAGUCGAACGAGAUCUUCGGGUCUAGUGGCGCACGGGUGCGUAACGCGUGGGAAUCUGCCCAUUGGUUCGGAAUAACAGGUGGAAACGACUGCUAAUACCGGAUGAUGACGAAAGUCCAAAGAUUUAUCGCCAGAGGAUGAGCCCGCGUAGGAUUAGCUAGUUGGUGUGGUAAAGGCGCACCAGGGCGACGACCCUUAGCUGGUCUGAGAGGAUGAUCAGCCACACUGGGACUGCGACACGGCCCAGACUCCUACGGGAGGCAGCAGUGGGGAAUAUUGGACAAUGGGCGAAAGCCUGAUCCAGCAAUGCCGCGUGAGUGAUGAAGGCCUUAGGGUUGUAAAGCUCUUUUACCCGGGAUGAUAAUGACAGUACCGGGAGAAUAAGCUCCGGCUAACUCCGUGCCAGCCGCCGCCGUAA